rnacentral:rRNA from 1 species
GAUGAACGCUGGCGGCGUGCCUAAUACAUGCAAGUCGAGCGAACAGACGAGGAGCUUGCUCCUUUGACGUUAGCGGCGGACGGGUGAGUAACACGUAUGUAACCUACCUAUAAGACUGGGAUAACUUCGGGAAACCGGAGCUAAUACCGGAUAAUAUUUCGAACCGUAGGGUUCGAUAGUGAAAGAUGGCUUUUCUAUCACUUAUAGAUGGACCUCGGCCGUAUUAGCUAGUUGGUAAGGUAACGGCUUACCAAGGCAACGAUUCGUAGCCGACGUGAGAGGGUGGUCGGCCACACUGGAGGUGAGACACGGUCCAGACUCCUGCGGGAGGCCGCAGUAGGGAAUGUUCCGCAAUGGGCGAAAACCUUACGGAGCAACGCCGCGCGAGAGAUGGAGGUCUUCGGAUCGUGAAACUCUGUUAUUAGGGAAGAACAAACUUGUAAGUAGAUGUACACGUCUUGACGGUACCUAGUCAGAAAGCCACGGCUAACUACGUG